UCUUAACUUGUUUCACCCUGAGGCCAAUCUGGAACACUCACCUAGAGAGCUUCUUGAUACUAUCAAGAACCUAAACUGAUCACUCCUUAGGAUCCAGGUGAGUGGUUAGUGCCUGGACCCCAUGCAGAGGAUCAAACACACGUCCUUCCCUAGGCUCCCCCAGCUCCACUGAGCCACGUGCUGUUGGUGGAGUCAUUGAGGGCACCCACUCCUGAAGGGAGAAGGGGACGUUGCUGGGGCUGUCUGGUGUCCCCCAAAGGCAAGAUGACUGCCUUGCCCUUCUGCCAGUCCUUUCAGGCUCCAGAAGAAGUGCUCAGAACAACAGGAGGACUUUGUGAUAAGUCCCCAAUGAACCCAAAAGGAGGAGGGAAACUCUGCUGCCUUUGUCUGCAUCCAGGUAAGAUGCUCAGAGCCCAGCAGACCAGCCACAGCAGCACUCCCCAGGCGCAUCUGCUCUGCGUGGCACAGGAGGACACAGGACAGCAGCUGGGGUGAGGAGGGAAAAGAGGGUCGAAGAGACAGGGGGAGGAAUGACAGGCAAAGAGGAAAGAAGACAAUAUAAGUAGAAAAGAAGGGGCUGAGUUCCAAAAAGGAAUUGCAGGAGAGCCUUCUAAUGCUCAGCCAGAUCCUGUUCUCUUUGCCUUCUGGAAACUUCCAAGCUCAUGGAAGGAUGACCCUUCCUAGCCCAUCAGGUCAGGGGGUCCAGGCGACAAGUUACACCAGAGCAGGUGGACCUGAUAUGGGGUGGAGCGUUUCUCUGUACCCAGUUUAGGGACAGUGGCAGCCUUGUCACCAUGGGCACCAUGAGACAGGAGAAGCCUGGAAUGAUGAGCCAACACAUGGAAGACAUUUGUCCUGGAGUGACACCCAGACCUGACGAUUCUGCUUACGUGAGAGAGAAAUUUUGCCAUAUGAGCCACUGAAAAUUAGAGGUGGUUUAUUACUGCAGCACCAGCUAGCCUACCCUUGUGAAAGAUAAAGAGGUAAAGAGCAGGAAGGAGAGAGAAGCAGCAAGAGAAAAAGAAAAAAAAGGGCACAGGAGGAGAGGGGGAGAAAAAGGGAACUCCACGCCAAUGUUCCACCUGGCAGAGAGACAAGAAUGAUCGCAAACUUCAGCCACCAGGCGGGGAUGAGUUUGAGGAAAGAGAUCCAGAGGCUGCGCUGGCUGGUUCUGCCAGGAACCCGCUGUGAUGGGACCACGAUUGUCCUUUGAAGACAGCGUUCUAGCGGGGUGGUAUUGCUGGUGAAGGGUAAAUACUAUAGUUAAAUGAUGACAUAACAACUAUUUUCACUUAAAGUUAUAUCAUGUCCUCCCAUUAUGUUUUACCUUUAAAUGUGCAGUACCAAAUAUUAGUGUAUUAGCAAGGAAAUGUCUUUUUUUCU